GGCGUUUUCAGGGGUUAACGGCUCACUCGUAAAGAGCAGGUCGCCAGUUCGAUUCUGGCAGGUGGCU
rnacentral:tRNA from 1 species